AUAAUACUCCCUCCGUCCGGAAUUACUUGUCAUCAAAAUGGAUGUGUCUAGAACUAAAAUACAUCUAGAUACAUCCAUUUCAAUGACAAGUAUUUUCGGACGGAGGGAGUNNNNN
rnacentral:pre_miRNA from 1 species